rnacentral:tRNA from 1 species
GGGUCUUUAGCUCAGUUGGUUAGAGCGCUUCCUUGACAUGGAAGAGGUCGCUGGUUCGAAUCCAGUAGGACCCA